UCCACUGUAGUCUAGUGGCAGGAUAUGUGACUUUCACUCAUACGACCGGGGUUCGAUUCCCCGCAGUGGAA
rnacentral:tRNA from 1 species